AUUGAACGCUGGCGGCAUGCCUUACGCAUGCAAGUCGAACGGUAACAGGUCUUCGGAUGCUGACGAGUGGCGAACGGGUGAGUAAUACAUCGGAACGUGCCCGAUCGUGGGGGAUAACGCAGCGAAAGCUGUGCUAAUACCGCAUACGAUCUACGGAUGAAAGCGGGGGAUCGCAAGACCUCGCGCGGACGGAGCGGCCGAUGGCAGAUUAGGUAGUUGGUGGGAUAAAAGCUUACCAAGCCGACGAUCUGUAGCUGGUCUGAGAGGACGACCAGCCACACUGGGACUGAGACACGGCCCAGACUCCUACGGGAGGCAGCAGUGGGGAAUUUUGGACAAUGGGCGCAAGCCUGAUCCAGCCAUGCCGCGUGCAGGAUGGAGGCCUUCGGGUUGUAAACUGCUUUUGUACGGAACGAAAAAGCUCUCUCUAAUACAGGGGGUGAAUGACGGUACCGUAAGAAUAAGCACCGGCUAACUACGUGCCAGCAGCCGCAGUAAAAC
rnacentral:rRNA from 1 species